rnacentral:ncRNA from 1 species
AUCCCUGAGGAGCGCUGCGACGAAAGCCGGACACGACGGCUCGCCAGGCUCAGGAAUCCUUGUCCAGGCGCCGCGUCUCGCGCGGCGCCUAUGCAACGGCGCUCACCUUAG